GCGUGCGUGGCUCAGUGGGUAAGAGGUUUGGCUGCUAAGCAGAAGGUCACAGGUUCGAGUUCUCGAGGUCG